rnacentral:RNase_P_RNA from 1 species
GCAGCCGGGCGUUCCGUCGCCUGCCGGCGUAUGAACGGCAGGAGGAAAGUCCGGGCAACAAAGAGCGCCUUACUUCCUUAGGGAAGCUAUCGGCGACGGUAGAGUAUCGUGACAGAAAACAACCGCCUGGAGCGCUUUUGCUUCAGGCAAGGGUGAAAAGGUGGGGUAAGAGCCCACCGGGCGCCACGGCGACAUGGCGUGCCGCACGACUUGAGGGUUGCAAUGCCAAGUAUACCGGCAGCAUGUAGGGUUGCUCGCCCGAUGCCGGGGGGUAGGCAGCGCAGAUAAAUGACGGAACGUCGGCCCUUAUGCACCACCCUUGUGUGUGCACACAGGAGCCGGCGACAUAACCCGGCUUAUANCCCGACUGCAUCC